UAGUGGCAGACGGGUGAGUAAUGUAUAGGAAUCUACCUAGUAGUACGGAAUAAUUGUUGGAAACGGCAACUAAUACCGUAUACGCCCUACGGGGGAAAAAUUUAUUGCUAUUAGAUGAGCCUAUAUUAGAUUAGCUAGUUGGUGGGGUAAUAGCCUACCAAGGAAAUGAUCUAUAGCUGAUCUGAGAGGAUGAUCAGCCACACUGGAACUGAGAUACGGUCCAGACUCCUACGGGAGGCAGCAGUGGGGAAUAUUGGACAAUGGGCAAAAGCCUGAUCCAGCCAUGCCGCAUGAGUGAAGAAGGCCUUCGGGUUGUAAAGCUCUUUUAGUGAGGAAGAUAAUGACGGUACUCACAGAAGAAGUCCUGGCUAACUCCGUGCCAGCAGCCGCGGUAAUACGGAGAGGGCUAGCGUUAUUCGGAAUUAUUGGGCGUAAAGGGCGCGUAGGGGGAUUAGUAAGUUAAAAGUGAAAUCCCAAGGCUCAACCUUGGAAUUGCUUUUAAAACUGCUAAUCUAGAAAUUGAAAGAGGAUAGAGGAAUUCCUAGUGUAGAGGUGAAAUUCGUAAAUAUUAGGAGGAACACCAGUGGCGAAGGCGUCUAUCUGGUUCAAAUCUGACGCUGAGGCGCGAAGGCGCGGGGAGCAAACAGGAUUAGAUACCCUGGUAGUCCACGCUGUAAACGAUGAAUGUUAAAUAUGGGGAGUUUACUUUCUGUAACUGCUAACGCGUUAAACAUUCCGCCUGGGGACUACGGUCGCAAAAUUAAAACUCAAAGGAAUUGACGGGGACCCGCACAAGCGGUGGAGCAUGUGGUUUAAUUCGAUGCAACGCGAAAAACCUUACCACUCCUUG
rnacentral:rRNA from 1 species